UCCGAAGUGGUCUAGUGGUAAGGAUUCCGCGUUCUCACCGCGGCGGCCGGGGUUCGAUUCCCCGCUUGGGAA
rnacentral:tRNA from 1 species